rnacentral:hammerhead_ribozyme from 1 species
AUCCAGCUAACGAGUCCCAAGUAGGACGAAAAGCGCAUUCUGGAU